GCCGGGGUGGCGGAAUGGCAGACGCGACGGACUUAAAAUCCGUUGAACCUCAAGGUUCGUGCGGGUUCGAGUCCCGCCCCCGGCAC
rnacentral:tRNA from 1 species